GACGAACGCUGGCGGCGUGCUUAACACAUGCAAGUCGAACGGAAAGGCCCUGCUUUUGUGGGGUGCUCGAGUGGCGAACGGGUGAGUAACACGCGAGUAACCUGCCCUUGACUUUGGGAUAACUUCAGGAAACUGGGGCUAAUACCGGAUAGGAGCUCCUGCUGCACGGUGGGGGUUGGAAAGUUUCGGCGGUUGGGGAUGGACUCGCGGCUUAUCAGCUUGUUGGUGGGGUAGUGGCUUACCAAGGCUUUGACGGGUAGCCGGCCUGAGAGGGUGACCGGGCACAAGGGGACUGAGAGACGGACCAGACUGCUACGGGAGGCAGCAGUGGGGAGUAUUACACAGUGGGCGGAAGCCUGAUACAGCAACGCCGCGUGCGGGAUGACGGCCUUCGAGAGGUGAACCGCUUUGGCCUGUGACGAGGCGGGAGUGACGGUAAUGGGUAAAGAAGCACCGGCUAACUACGUG
rnacentral:rRNA from 1 species